rnacentral:lncRNA from 1 species
GGUCCUGCUAUGUUGCCCAGGCUUGUCUUGAAUUCCUGGCCUCAAGAGAUCCUCCCUCCAUGGCAUCCCAAAGCACUGGGAUUACAGGCAUGAACCACCUCACCUGGCCUCCGUUAGUCUUAACUGCUAUCUGAGGACACUGGAGCAAGAGAUACUGGAGAGCUCUCUGCAUCUUGGCACAAAAUCCAAACCAGUAACUCUGGGACGUUCUUGACUCAGGGUUAACCUCAGAAACCUGGUAAUCCAUAUGACCCCACAGCUAUGCCUCAUGGCCCAAAGGGCCAGAUUUCAUCUCCACAGUCGUCUUCCUCAACGUGAAGGGCUGUUGACCCUACUCACGGAGGACUCUGUGAUGAACCAAGGUGCUUCAUGCAACAGCCCCAGCUGAGCUCCCAGCAGAUGCCAGCACCAUUCGCCAACCAUGUGGGUGAGGUCUCUUGGAUGUCCCAGGCAAGUGUAGCAUGCUGAUGACUGCAGCCCCAGGUGCCAGACACCACAUAGAAUAGAAAACACCCAGCAAAGCCCAGUCAAUUCGUAGAAUCCUGAGAGAUAAUAAAUAGCUAUUGUUUGGGGACAUUUUGUUAAGCACAAGUGGUUAUCUAAAACCUUAUGGUUUUGGUGACCUUUUCUUCAUUUUCUGUGAGCUGCUCUCAGAUCACAGAUCAUGAAGGCUCGGGGGGGAUUUGUUAUAAUUUU